GAUGCAAUAAAAACAUGAAUGCCCAGUAACCCAAUGUAACGUUAUCAUUCAAAUGGGACUUUAAAAAGAUCAUUAUCCCUCAUUAAAUAUAUUAUUAGUGAAAAGUUAUUAAUCUUUUCUCUUCACGUGCUAAACUCUUCCUAUCUCUCCUUCUAAACUCUGUUCUGUUUUCCUUCUUCUCUUUCCCUGUCUCUUUUCCUUUUCUAAAACUCACUUCAAUCGUUGAAGCGAAACGUGCAACCAUAGCGGCGCCGUCACGAGACUCGGAAACCACCGUCAAACUCCUAACAGAAAACACACCUAAACCCAAAUCUAAGCAAGUAGAUUUACAAAACAAAAAAGAAUUCAAAGAGCCAAAUCGGAGAACAACAACAACUAGAAGCCUAAGUUUUCAGCUUAAAAUCAAAACCAUGGCAACAACAAUAUUAUGCAAUAAUCAUGGGGUUUGCGUUCUAUGAAGCAAUGCAAGCAAGAUAGUAACCUCAAAUCAUGCAAAGGAGAAAUGUUAAAUACCAAAUCGGAGCUAGUCCGACGUUUCAACUCCGGCAAGGUGAGGGGGCUUAGCUCGAGCUUGUUGAGCUUCGGUGUGAAAAUCUCAACAAGUUCAAAACGGAGCUUUUUUAACUAGGGUUUUGGAAUGAUUUCUCCAGAGUAACGGCGCAGAAAAUCGGAUCCCUACUUCAUCCCUGGAGGUCCUUAUUUAUAGCGUUUUUGUACGAGGUUCAAUCUUUCCUCUCUUUCAUGAGCUGUCAAAUUGGUGGGAGAAUCAUUCCGUUAGGUAGCAGGAUUUUCUCAGAGUUGGUGGUCCUCCAAAUUGGUGUGGUCCUUCGAAUGAAAAGAUAAGAUUUUGUCUGUAGUGAAUCCAUCUUUUUUUUACUUUUCACUGCGUUAAUUGUUAUGUUUUACUGGCUUAUUGACUCUUUGCAAUUGACCUCUUUUACUGGUUUGAAUUUUGCAGCUUUACUCUUCUCAAUCUCCCACCAACGGUUCAUGAUGACUUGUGCAUCACACUUCUGAAAUGGUUAUCAAGGUUUAGAUAUUGAUUCCCAUAUUCUAGCUUGGAAAUCUAAUUCGACAGUUUUAUUAGCCUCCAACGGCUUCCAAUGAAUUUCCCUGAAUUGGAAGGCAACCAAUCAACAGAGCACACAGGAGUACUUCAACACUCCAAAUAUCAACCUUCUCAGAGUAUUUGCCCGACAAUACUUCAGGAGCAAGAUAUGCAGAGUUUUCAGCCAAUCCAGUCAAGUUUUGACCUUCCGAAUUUCUCAUGGUCUUUGUUGCUGCUGAUGCAUUGCUGGAUGUUUGUUAUGAUGUAUUUCGGCUAGUGGUUGUGGCACCUGUAUCCCGAUUCUACAGCAAGAUCACGUCGCAGCAUGCACCUGUUGGCAGAGUUGGGAUGAUUGUGUGGUUUAAGCCAACAUCUGGUUGUAUUAAACAUGUACAUGGCUUUAGAGUUCUGCAGGUUAGGACGUCUUGUACGGGUGAAUGUGCAACUUAAUGGGAAUGGACCGGUCAUUGAAGAUCAACAAUUAGACGCUCCUUUAUUCAACACUUUAAUCUUUCUUGACUCCAGUAAUGUAACAUGGUGUUUAACAUGGUGUAGCAUACUUAGAAUAUUAACUCAUGAAAAUUAUUACAUGCUUGUAAUUUCACUAGCUGUUCCGUGAUCUUGGGCACUUGUGACUAUUUGAUAGUGAUCGCAGGUAGAUGAAACAUUGAUACAUGAUAUUCAAGUCUUGGCUUUUGUUUUAAUGAAGCGGCAGUUCUCAUGCCGGAGACCGAGUUCCGUCCGCGCCAGCCUGUGCAUAGAAAUGCAUCCUUUGGAAUUUCCAAAGAAUGAGUGCCAUGCUAUUCUGCACCAACUAAUGCAAUCCUGUUUCGACCUUAGGUUUUUCCAUGCGCGAUUCUGAUGAAAACCAGGUGGUUCUGCAUCAAAUUCUUCCUGCAUUGCCUGCCGGUUAUGCGCGACUAAGGAUUUGUUGGCGAGGUUGCAGACCUUCACUUUUGAUGUCCAUUCGCCAUGUUCAGAACAAUUCUCACCCUAUCACAUUUGCUUGUAGUACAUAGUGCCUUAGGGUAGGUCAUUCAUCUGUGCUCAACCGUGUAUGUACUUCAUAAUUCGAGGCAUAUACGAACUGCCCAUAAUUGGAAUAACUGUAUGCCACACUUGUUGAUUUGUGAAUGUAAUUGUAAUUUUAGCACGUGAUCAUGUUUUGCCACUGCAUUGUUAUUAUAGCUUCCACCGUGUAUUACAGUGGGCCAAAAGGUGAAAUAUGGAGGAAUAUCAAGAGACUUUUGGAU